rnacentral:rRNA from 1 species
UCGGAUUGUAGGCUGAAACUCGCCUACAUGAAGCUGGAAUUGCUAGUAAUCACAGGUCAGCAUACUGUGGUGAAUACGUUCCCGGGCCUUGUACACACCGCCCGUCACACCAUGAGAGUUGAGAAUACCCGAAGCCCAUGUCAAAGUGGUCGAAGGUAGGCUUGAUGAUUGGGGUGAAGUCGUAACAAGGUAAC